UAGGGAAUCUUCCGCAAUGGACGCAAGUCUGACGGAGCAACGCCGCGUGAGUGAAGAAGGAUUUCGGUUCGUAAAACUCUGUUGUUAGAGAAGAACAGCGCAUAGAGUAACUGUUAUGCGUGUGACGGUAUCUAACCAGAAAGCCACGGCUAACUACGUGCCAGCAGCCGCGGUAAUACGUAGGUGGCAAGCGUUGUCCGGAUUUAUUGGGCGUAAAGCGAGCGCAGGCGGUCAAUUAAGUCUGAUGUGAAAGCCCCCGGCUCAACCGGGGAGGGUCAGUGGAAACUGGUUGUCUUGAGUGCAGAAGAGGAGAGUGGAAUUCCAUGUGUAGCGGUGAAAUGCGUAGAUAUAUGGGGGAACACCAGUGGCGAGGGCGACUCUCUGGUCUGUAACUGACGCUGAGGCUCGAAAGCGUGGGUAGCAAACAGG
rnacentral:rRNA from 1 species